GCUUACAAUUUGAGUCUAAACUAAAAAGAAAAAAGUGAGAUAUGAAAAUAUGAGAAUUUGGUGAGUGAAUUGAUCUGUGGGUGACAAGACUACAGAGGACAAUACUGGGAGGACAGAUGAUCAGACCAAUGAGAGGACAACGCAGGGAGGAUGGUCAAACCUAGGAGAAGACAACACUGGGAAGACAGUCAGAUCAAGGCUCUUUAAACCAAGGAUACCCCGAUUGUGGUGCCAUUUAUAGGUGACAAAGGGACCAUUGGGUAGGGCCACAAAUUUAUAGCUCAUUUAAUGUUUGUUUGGGGGUUUGAGACAAGGUCUUAUUACACAGCCCUCAAUAGCCUGGAACUUAUAUAGACCAGACUGGCCUCAAACUCACAGAGAUCCACCUGCCUCUGCCUCCUGAGUGCUGGGAUCAUGUGCAGCACCAAGCUGACCACAUGUGAGCUGAAACUGAUAACAUGAGAGAAGCAUGAGACAGCGGUGAGAGAGACACUUGUCAAGAUCUCCGUAUUGCCAGGAGCACAAAAGUGGAGGCAGAGCAAGAGUCCAUGGCACAUCACCAAAAGGAAAGGGACCUGCAAGGGAAGAGAGGCAGCUGCAACCUCUCCACCCCUCAUUUUAUUAACUUGGAGUCAAGUACAAGGGAGAAGAAGCAUGCCUCUCUUCUUGUGUUUUGACUAGGAAAGAUAUUAAUAAUAAAGGAGAGAGAGAGAGAGAGAGAGAGAGAGAGAGAGAGAGAGAGAGAGAGAGAGAGAGAGAGAGAGAGGAGCCAGAAAUGGUGAGGCACCCAGUGCUGAUUAGGAAUCUGCUUGUAGCUUCUGGUGAUGGCCCCAGGUGAGGUCUGGGGGCUUGGAGCCAGCAUUUGAAUCAUUGGAACUAAGCAUUAUACAGUACCUAUUCCUGCUGCAUGGAUACAUCUUCUAGACAUCUAAAUAGCUCCUGGAUGCCACCAUGAGUCCCUCCUGCCUGGGCGUUCUGUGACUCCCACGAAAGGAGAGCUAAAAAUCAUUCUAGUGAUACUUUUGAUUCGUCCUUGUCCACACCACCAGAAAAGGGAGAGUUACAGGUUUAUUUGGGAUCUCAGGCUACUAUGAAGGGAGGCAAUGAGGGGAGGGGCAAAGGAAAGACUGGAGAAGAAAAUGGCUUU
rnacentral:lncRNA from 1 species